GGGCCAUAUCACUGAAACACCGGUUUCUGUACGAUCACCGAAGUUAAGCAACGUUGAGUCUGGUUAGUACCUUGACUGCUUGGGAAUACCAGGUAGUGUAA